rnacentral:lncRNA from 1 species
AAAGAAUAAAGCUACUAUAUGAACUCAAAUGUAUCAAAAACUACUGAUUAUUGAAUAUAGACACUACAAUGUUUCAGAAUGAAGAAACAACCCAAAUAUUGCACUAAAAAGACUAGCUUAAAUUACCACAAAGACAACCAAUAAAAAGUAGCGCAAUAGUCUAAACUUCUAUAUUUUUAAGUAACUUUAUACAACUCCGGUCCUUGGUUUCUACUUUCAAAAUUUAUGAAUUAAAGACAUAAAUAGGAACACCAAUAUCAGAUAUCUAUAUCAGCAUAAUUUCAUAACAUAACAAAAAUUAAAAGAAAAGAGUACAACUAAAACAAUAAAAGUCUGACAGCAAGAUUUCCUGACCAGUAAACUUUCAGACUGAAAACGACAUAGUUUGGCUGAGCAAUUACAGUUGGUGUCUUCAUAACAUUUGUAAAAGACAACCUAAAGAUCAUUUGAGAACUGGAAUCGCAGAAAAAGGAUUUUUCUACAAUUACUUAUGAUUUUUCGAAAAUCAGAUACAGUAGAGAAAAACUGCUAUGAUGUAAGUCUAUAUCUCAUGUUCUAAGUAAAGGGUUUAAGACUGAGAUUUUAACAACAACAACAACAUCAUCAUAUACUUGAUUCUCUAGCCGUUAAUAAUAUAUAAGAACUGAUUUGGCUAACAAAGAAAUCAAAUUAAAGGUGACCAAAACCAAAGGAUUUAGUAUUCCUAUUUGCCACAGAAUUCAACAACAACAAAACCAAAACCAAUUCUUAAUAGGAACUAUUCCAAUCAAAUAAACAAUCAUACAAAGAUUCCAAAGUGAUGUCAAAUUCUAAAUUCACAAACUAAGAGCAUAUAAACACAAUCAAUUGGUUUGAACAUAAAGAGAAUCUAACCUGAGUUCUACCAAUUUCCUACAACACCAAUUUCUCUUCUCUACUCUCUCUCUCUCUCUCUCUAUCAGUGAACUCAAAGAAAACAUAUGGAAAACUCUGAAUACUAACCUCUAUUUAUAUGGUCUGGAAAGAGAGAAGAACGUGGAGUCCAAGAAAGACUAAAGAAAGUCAAAUUGAGCACUUCAACUCAAUUCUUAUCCAUCUGGAAACUUAGUCUCCAAGAAUUUUGACAUCUUCUGCUUAAUGAAGUCGGCUGCUAGGUGUUUCAAGGACGGUUUCUGGGUUUCAUGGCGGUAAUGUUUCGGAUUGGGAAACAUCUGGUUGGAAGAAAGAAGAAGUCGAUGAAGAAGAGAGGAUAAACCUUUGAGUUUAAUGGUCGGAAGGAAGAAGGUGAAGGAGAAGAAGCAGAAGGCUCUGAAGGAGAAGAAGCAGAAGGCUCUGAAGGAGAAGAAGAAGAGGACGACGUCGUUCUGCCUGAAUGAAAAACUCUUUCCUAUAGCUAUCAAAUUUGGGCUUGGGUUUUGUAUUUGGAUAUUGAGGUUGGAUAAAA